AAAAGAUAAAAUUCAUGAAAAAUAGAAACUCAAUGAAAUAAAAUAUGAAAAAAUAAAAAUCAGAUGAAGAAAAAUAAAACAAAAUUUUAGAAAUUAUUUUGGGAUUUUUUGGAUAAAAAAUGAAAUUACUAUGAAUUUUAAAAGAAAAAGCAAUUAAAAAUAGUAAAAGAAAAAUAGUUAAAAUCAGAAAAAACGUGGAGCGUUGGAACACUCCUUGGGUUAGAAAGCACGAUGGAACACGCU
rnacentral:lncRNA from 1 species